rnacentral:miRNA from 1 species
UUUUUUAUUGAAGGUCAUGGACA